GGUUCGUUGGGGUAAAAGGCAACAUCCCUCAGGUGGGAAGAUCUCGCCUCUGAUUGAGGUCCUCGAGGAAGAUAUUGUUUCGAAUCCAAUACGGACCA